GAUGAACGCUGGCGGCGUGCCUAACACAUGCAAGUCGAGCGAUUUACUUCGGUAAAGAGCGGCGGACGGGUGAGUAACGCGUGGGUAACCUGCCCUGUACACACGGAUAACAUACCGAAAGGUAUGCUAAUGCGAGAUAAUAUACUUUUAUCGCAUGGUAGAAGUAUCAAAGCUCCGGCGGUACAGGAUGGACCCGCGUCUGAUUAGCUAGUUGGUAAGGUAACGGCUUACCAAGGCGACGAUCAGUAGCCGACCUGAGAGGGUGAUCGGCCACAUUGGAACUGAGACACGGUCCAAACUCCUACGGGAGGCAGCAGUGGGGAAUAUUGCACAAUGGGCGAAAGCCUGAUGCAGCAACGCCGCGUGAGCGAUGAAGGCCUUCGGGUCGUAAAGCUCUGUCCUCAAGGAAGAUAAUGACGGUACUUGAGGAGGAAGCCCCGGCUAACUACGUGCCAGCCGCCGCGGUAAAAC
rnacentral:rRNA from 1 species